CUCUUGGUGGCGAGUGGCGGACGGGUGAGUAAUACAUCGGAAUCUACCCUGUCGUGGGGGAUAACGUAGGGAAACUUACGCUAAUACCGCAUACGACCUACGGGUGAAAGCAGGGGAUCUUCGGACCUUGCGCGAUUGGAUGAGCCGAUGUCGGAUUAGCUAGUUGGCGGGGUAAAGGCCCACCAAGGCGACGAUCCGUAGCUGGUCUGAGAGGAUGAUCAGCCACACUGGAACUGAGACACGGUCCAGACUACUACGGGAGGCAGCAGUGGGGAAUAUUGGACAAUGGGCGCAAGCCUGAUCCAGCCAUGCCGCGUGGGUGAAGAAGGCCUUCGGGUUGUAAAGCCCUUUUGUUGGGAAAGAAAAGCAUUCGGUUAAUACCCGAGUGUUCUGACGGUACCCAAAGAAUAAGCACCGGCUAACUUCGUGCCAGCAGCCGCGGUAAUACGAAGGGUGCAAGCGUUACUCGGAAUUACUGGGCGUAAAGCGUGCGUAGGUGGUUUGUUAAGUCUGAUGUGAAAGCCCUGGGCUCAACCUGGGAAUUGCAUUGGAUA
rnacentral:rRNA from 1 species